AGAGUUUGAUCAUGGCUCAGAACGAACGCUGGCGGCGUGGAUAAGACAUGCAAGUCGAGCGCCGAUUUCAGGGUAGCAAUAUUCUGUGGUCGGAGCGGCGCAAGGGUGCGUAACACGUGGGUAAUCUGCCAUGAAGUUUGGGAUAACUUGCUGAAAGGCGAGCUAAUACCGGAUGUGACCGUUGGGAGGCAUCUCCUGACGUUCAAAGCUGGGGACCGUAAGGCCUGGCGCUUCAUGAUGAGCCCGCGGCCUAUCAGCUAGUUGGUGAGGUAACGGCUCACCAAGGCUAAGACGGGUAGCUGGUCUGAGAGGACGACCAGCCACACUGGAACUGAGACACGGUCCAGACACCUACGGGUGGCAGCAGUCGAGAAUUUUUCACAAUGGGCGCAAGCCUGAUGGAGCGACGCCGCGUGGGGGAUGAAUGGCUUCGGCCCGUAAACCCCUGUCAUUCGCGAUCAAACCUUAUUAUUUAAAAGAUGAUAAGCUGAUAGUAGCGGAAGAGGAAGGGACGGCUAACUCUGUGCCAGCAGCCGCGGUAAUACAGAGGUCCCAAGCGUUGUUCGGAUUCACUGGGCGUAAAGGGUGCGUAGGUGGUGAGGUAAGUCGGAUGUGAAAGCUCGGAGCUCAACUCCGAAAUGGCAUUGGAAACUACCUUGCUCGAGGAAUGGAGGGGGGACUGGAAUUCUCGGUGUAGCAGUGAAAUGCGUAGAUAUCGAGAGGAACACCAGUGGCGAAGGCGAGUCCCUGGACAUCUCCUGACACUGAGGCACGAAAGCUAGGGGAGCAAACAGGAUUAGAUACCCUAGUAGUCC
rnacentral:rRNA from 1 species